rnacentral:rRNA from 1 species
AUGCCCCACUGCGAGGCGUCGCUCUACGACGCGCUCAUCGCAGCCAACUGGGAGCCCCGCGCUCAGCUCCGCCGGUACGCUGUGCAGGCGGAAGAGAACCGCUCGGGAUCCGCCGCCAAGGCCAAUCUUGUCCUCAAGGCAGGGCGGUUCGCGUGGAAGCAGCGGAUCGACGAGGCCGGGAAUGUGGACGACGAGGACUGGUUCGCCCGUGCGUUCAACGAGGCGAGCUGGCAUUUCUUCGAGGUGGACGAAGCCGUCGACCAGAGGACGGAGAUAAGUUCCCAAGCUUUGUCCUUCGAGAAAUUAUCACUGUAA